rnacentral:rRNA from 1 species
UGCGGAAGGAUCAUUAUCGAGUUUUGAACGGGUUGUAGCUGACCUCUUUUUGGGGUAUGUGCACGCCUGGCUCAUCCACUCUCAACCUCUGUGCACUUCAUGUAAGAGAACGGUGUAAGCUGAUUUUGUAAAGAAGUCAGUGACAAGCCUUCUCUUGCGUUUUACCACAAACACUUCAGUUAUAGAAUGUUUACUGUGUAUAACACAAUUAUAUACAACUUUCAGCAACGGAUCUCUUGGCUCUCGCAUCGAUGAAGAACGCAGCGAAAUGCGAUAAGUAAUGUGAAUUGCAGAAUUCAGUGAAUCAUCGAAUCUUUGAACGCACCUUGCACUCCUUGGUAUUCCGAGGAGUAUGCCUGUUUGAGUCUCAUGGUAUUCUCAACCCCUAAAUUUUUCUAGUGAAGAUUUGGUGGGCUUGGACUUGGAGGUUGUGUUGGCUCUCGCUAGUCGACUCCUCUGAAAUACAUUAGUGUGAACCUUACGGAUCGCCUUCAGUGUGAUAAUUAUCUGCGCUGUGGUGGUGAAGUAUUUAUUGUAUUCACGCUUCUAACCGUCUCUCCUUCGAGACAAAUACUUUGACAAUCUGAGCUCAAAUCAGGUAGGAUUACCCGCUGAACUUAAGCAUAUCAAUAAGCGGAGGAAAAGAA